GAUGAACGCUGGCGGCGUGCCUAACACAUGCAAGUCGAGCGAACAGACGAGGAGCUUGCUCCUCUGUCGAUAGCGGCGGACGGGUGAGAAACACGUGGAUAAUCUCCCUAUAAGACUGGGAUAACUACGGGACUCCGGAGAUAAUACCGGAUAAUAUAUUGAACCGCAUGGUUCAUUGGUGAAAGACGGCUUUGCUGUCAUUUAUAGCUGGUUCCGCGCUGCAUUAGCUAGUUGGUAAGGUAACGGCUUAUCAAGGCUACGAUGCGUAGCCGACCUAAGAGGGUGAUCGGCCGCACGAGAGCGGAGACACGGUCCAGACUCCUACGGUAGGCAGCAGAAGGGUAUCGGACGCAAUGGUCGAAAGCCUGACGGAGCAGCGCGGCGUGAGAGGUGAAGGUCUUCGGAUCGUAAUGCUCUGUUAUGAGGGAAGAACAAAUGUGUAAUGAACUGUGCACGUCUUGACGGUACCGAAUAAGAAAGCCACGGCUAACUACGUG
rnacentral:rRNA from 1 species